AGCAGCCGCGGUAAUUCCAGCUCCAAUAGCGUAUAUUAAAGUUGUUGCAGUUAAAAAGCUCGUAGUUGAAUUUCGGGAUCAAUACGUCGGUCGUGCUUCGGUACGUACUGGCGUAAUUGAUUUCUCCCUUCUGACGAACCAUGAUGUCAUUAACUUGGUGUCAUGGGAAAUCAGGACUGUUACUUUGAAAAAAUUAGAGUGUUUAAAGCAGGCUCACGCUUGAAUACAUUAGCAUGGAAUAAUGAAAUAGGACGUUCGAUCCUAUUUUGUUGGUUUUUAGGAUCAACGUAAUGAUUAAUAGGGAUAGUUGGGGGCAUUAGUAUUCAAUUGUCAGAGGUGAAAUUCUUGGAUUUAUUGAAGACUAACUACUGCGAAAGCAUUUGCCAAGGAUGUUUUCAUUAAUCAAGAACGAAAGUUAGGGGAUCGAAGACGAUCAGAUACCGUCGUAGU
rnacentral:rRNA from 2 species